rnacentral:misc_RNA from 1 species
GAUGAAGAACGUAGUGAAAUGCGAUAAGUAAUGCGAAUUGCAGAAUUUCCGUGAGUCAUCGAAUCUUUGAACGCACAUUGCGCCCCCUGGUAUUCCGGGGGGCAUGCCUGUCCGAGCGUCAUUGCUGCCCUCAAGCACGGCUUGUGUGUUGGGCCUCCGUCCUCCUCCCGGGGGACGGGCCCGAAAGGCAGCGGCGGCACCGCGUCCGGUCCUCGAGCGUAUGGGGCUUCGUCACCCGCUCUUGUAGGCCCGGCCGGCGCUUGCCGACACAUCAAUCUUUUUUCCAGGUUGACCUCGGAUCAGGUAGGGAUACCCGCUGAACUUAAGCAUAUCAAUAAGCGGAGGA